UACAGAGGGGGCAAGCGUUGUUCGGAAUUACUGGGCGUAAAGGGCGCGUAGGCGGCCUGUUAAGUCGAACGUGAAAUCCCCGGGCUCAACCCGGGAACUGCGUCCGAUACUGGCAGGCUUGAAUCCGGGAGAGGGAAGCGGAAUUCCAGGUGUAGCGGUGAAAUGCGUAGAUAUCUGGAGGAACACCGGUGGCGAAGGCGGCAUCCUGGACCGGUAUUGACGCUGAGGCGCGAAAGCCAGGGGAGCAAACAGG
rnacentral:rRNA from 1 species